rnacentral:rRNA from 1 species
AUGGUUCAGGCUGAAAGGAGUUAUAAUUUUCAGGAUCUUGUUGAGAGUGUGAUUGCACAGUUAAAGGGGUGGAAGGGAAAAAUGUUAUCUUUAGGUAGAAAGAAAAUCUUAUUGAAAGUAGUCAUCCAAUCUCUUCCUGUUUUUGCAAUGGAAGUAUUCAAGAUUCCAAAGAAAAUAAGCAAGGAGAUUACGUACGCUAUGUGAAGCUUCUGGUGGGGCGACAAUGAGGACCAAAGGAAAAUGCAUUGCUGGGCAUGUUGGUGUAUGUGUAUUCCCAAGAAAGAUGAAGGUACGGGGUUCAGAGGUUUGCAUGCUUUUAAUCUCGCAAUGCUUAUAAAAGAGUUAAAAGCACUGGGGUGGCGUCCUAUAACUUGUCCAAGAUGUGAUGAUUUGGUCCUACAACCUGCAAAAUGA